ACUGCCUGAGAUUUUAAGUUUAUUUUUCCUGAGAUGAAAGCUGUUCCAGAAAGUCUCUCACUCUCAGCAAAUCCAAGACCAAGGCUGGGAGCCAUAAGAAUUAGCUGCAGGUGCUGAGGGUUUAGAAACUGCUGAAGGGACGAAAGACCAAGGUGUUGGCUCCAGGAAUCUCCUCAGGAAACAAAAGUAUCCCAGAUGCUAGCACACCUGGUAACACAUCCAUAGAGCUGGCCUCUCACAGCAGCAUAGGUGUUUGUGUCACACUUUUCACAUGCUGCUGUUUGCCAACCCAGAGUGCUCUUGGAGAGUUGUGUCCCAGUGAAAAGAUUGGAAAUCCAAUAAUUCCUUGCACUACAGCUGGUGGGACUGCGGCCUUUCUGAUUUUUGUAGCAGCUUCCAGUUCAUGUGUGUGGAAGUGGCCAGGGCAGAGAAUGGGGUCCAUGCCACCCAGAAAUCCUCUUCCCUUGCAGUUUGGUGCUUCACUCAUGAGCCUGUUCAUAGCUCCAUGGGUUUUUAAAAGGAGAUUGGAAAGGUUUGAUGAAACAGAGAGAGAGAAACAGUUUGCAGAAGCACAAAAACAAAUCUACAGAAAUGUUGAUGGAGGUGACACAACUCAUCCCUUCACCUAA
rnacentral:lncRNA from 1 species